GACGAACGCUGGCGGCGUGCCUAAUACAUGCAAGUCGAACGAAGCUGUUUUAACUGGUGCUUGCACCGACUUAAACAACUGAGUGGCGAACGGGUGAGUAACACGUGGGUAACCUGCCCCAAAGCGGGGGAUAACAUUUGGAAACAGAUGCUAAUACCGCAUAACCACAGAAACCACAUGGUUUCUGUGUCAAAGAUGGUUUCGGCUAUCACUUUGGGAUGGACCCGCGGCGUAUUAGCUAGUUGGUAAGGUAAUGGCUUACGAAGGCAAGGAUACGGAGCCGAACUGAGAGGUUGAUCGGCCACAUUGGGACUGAGACACGGCCCGAACACCUACGGGAGGCAGCAGUAGGGAAUCUUCCACAAUGGACGAAAGUCUGAUGGAGCAACGCCGCGUGAGUGAAGAAGGUUUUCGGAUCGUAAAACUCUGUUGUCAGAGAAGAACGUGUGCGAGAGUAACUGUUCGUGCAGUGACGGUAUCUGGCCAGAAAGCCACGGCUAACUACGUGCCAGCAGCCGCCGUAA
rnacentral:rRNA from 1 species